rnacentral:rRNA from 2 species
GGCUUAGUGGUGGGGUGACUGCGUACCUUUUGUAUAAUGGGUCAGCGACUUAUAUUCUGUAGCAAGGUUAACCGAAUAGGGGAGCCGGAGGGAAACCGAGUCUUAAUUGGGCGUUAAGUUGCAGGGUAUAGACCCGAAACCCGGUGAUCUAGCCAUGGGCAGGUUGAAGGUUGGGUAACACUAACUGGAGGACCGAACCGACUAAUGUUGAAAAAUUAGCGGAUGACCUGUGGCUGGGGGUGAAAGGCCAAUCAAACCGGGAGAUAGCUGGUUCUCCCCGAAAGCUAUUUAGGUAGCGCCUCGUGAACUCAUCUCCGGGGGUAGAGCACUGUUUCGGCUAGGGGGCCAUCCCGGCUUACCAACCCGAUGCAAACUGCGAAUACCGGAGAAUGUUAUCACGGGAGACACACGGCGGGUGCUAACGUCCGUCGUGAAGAGGGAAACAACCCAGACCGCCAGCUAAGGUCCCAAAGUCAUGGUUAAGUGGGAAACGAUGUGGGAAGGCCCAGACAGCCAGGAUGUUGGCUUAGAAGCAGCCAUCAUUUAAAGAAAGCGUAAUAGCUCACUGGUCGAGUCGGCCUGCGCGGAAGAUGUAACGGGGCUAAACCAUGCACCGAAGCUGCGGCAGCGAACGUAUCACCCAAGACAACUUUACGGAGUUGACGAUUGACGGAGCGAAGCGACGUCAAAGCGUUCAUUAAAGUCGAGUUGGCUUAGGGAUACGUUCGUUGGGUAGGGGAGCGUUCUGUAAGCCUGUGAAGGUGGCCUGUGAGGGUUGCUGGAGGUAUCAGAAGUGCGAAUGCUGACAUAAGUAACGAUAAAGCGGGUGAAAAGCCCGCUCGCCGGAAGACCAAGGGUUCCUGUCCAACGUUAAUCGGGGCAGGGUGAGUCGACCCCUAAGGCGAGGCCGAAAGGCGUAGUCGAUGGGAAACGGGUUAAUAUUCCCGUACUUGGUGUUACUGCGAAGGGGGGACGGAGAAGGCUAUGUUGGCCGGGCGACGGUUGUCCCGGUUUAAGCGUGUAGGCUGGUUUUCCAGGCAAAUCCGGAAAAUCAAGGCUGAGGCGUGACGACGAGGCACUACGGUGCUGAAGCAACAAAUGCCCUGCUUCCAGGAAAAGCCUCUAAGCAUCAGGUAACAUCAAAUCGUACCCCAAACCGACACAGGUGGUCAGGUAGAGAAUACCAAGGCGCUUGAGAGAACUCGGGUGAAGGAACUAGGCAAAAUGGUGCCGUAACUUCGGGAGAAGGCACGCUGACA